rnacentral:lncRNA from 1 species
UUUGAUUGAUGAUCAUGCGAUUAUGGCUGAUCAUGUGGUCCAGUUCUACGUCGAUCUCUUUACUGACGGUUGUGGAUCGUUCUUGGAUUGGUCAGCAUAUUCAUACUUUAGUUACUCAGGAUCAGGGGGCGUCGCUCAUUUGUUGCCCUUCGGUGGACGAGAUACGGGCAGCGGUUUUCUCCAUGAAUUGUAACGGUGCUCCUGGGCCCGAUGGUUUCACUGGUAAAUUUUUUCAUGU